AUGCUCCCCUUCAGCUGUGGGCGGCACGAUAAUUACUGCCAUCCACCAUGCUGGUCUGGCUUGUCACACAGGCUGCUGAGCCCAGCGCCGCCUCCCCGGCCCCACGUGUGCCAGACGCUGCCAUUUGGCUUCCCCGGCCACAGCUUUGGUUCUUCCCGGCACCGGGGACAUCAGCAGGCUGCUGCCGGGGCUGUCCCGUGCUGGAUCCCAUGCCUGGCUGCCAGGAGAGCUCUGGGGACAGCCACUGCUUGGGCAGAUUGGAAAACAAGCUCUGCGGGACACCCCAAAGAUGGACCAUCACAUUCAGCCCUGACCAGUAACAGAAAUACCCAGACUGCACCUUGAAAUAAAGGAGACAAACAAGGACCA
rnacentral:lncRNA from 1 species